AUCUUCAGGGCAGGGUGCAAUUCCCUACCGGUGGUACAGCCCACGAGCCGUAAGGCAUGAUUCGGUGAAACUCCGAAGCCGACAGUACAGUCUGGAUGAAAGAAGAUA
rnacentral:ncRNA from 1 species